AUACGGAGGAUCCGAGCGUUAUCCGGAUUUAUUGGGUUUAAAGGGUGCGCAGGCGGGGGAUUAAGUCGGCGGUGGAAUUUUGCGGGUUAACUGUAAAAGGGCCAACGAAACUGGGUUUCUUGAGUGUGGAUGAAGUAGGUGGAAUUUGUGGGGUCGGGGGGAAAUGCAUAGAUAUCACGAGGAACUCCGAUUGCGCAGGCAGCUUACUAGGCCAUAACUGACGCUCAGGCACGAAGGCGUGGGGAUCAAACAGGAUUAGAUACCCUGGUAGUCCACGCAGUAAACGAUGAUUACUCGCUGUUUGCGAUACACAGUAAGCGGCUUAGCGAAAGCGUUAAGUAAUCCACCUGGGGAGUACGUUCGCAAGAAUGAAACUCAAAUGAAUUGGCGGGG
rnacentral:rRNA from 1 species